GACAGAGGGUGCAAACGUUGCUCGGAAUUACUGGGCGUAAAGCGCGUGUAGGCGGGAAACUAAGUUGGGUGUGAAAUCCCUGGGCUCAACCUAGGAACUGCACUCAAAACUGGUUUUCUGGAGUGAUGGAGAGGAAAGUGGAAUUCCCGGUGUAGAGGUGAAAUUCGUAGAUAUCGGGAGGAACACCAGUGGCGAAGGCGGCUUUCUGGCCAUCAACUGACGCUGAGACGCGAAAGCGUGGGGAGCAAACAGG
rnacentral:rRNA from 1 species